rnacentral:rRNA from 1 species
AGGACGAACGCUGGCGGCGUGCUUAACACAUGCAAGUCGAACGAUGAAGCCCAGCUUGCUGGGUGGAUUAGUGGCGAACGGGUGAGUAACACGUGAGUAACCUGCCCUUGACUCUGGGAUAAGCGUUGGAAACGACGUCUAAUACCGGAUACGAGCUUCCACCGCAUGGUGAGUUGCUGGAAAGAAUUUUGGUCAAGGAUGGACUCGCGGCCUAUCAGCUUGUUGGUGAGGUAACGGCUCACCAAGGCGACGACGGGUAGCCGGCCUGAGAGGGUGACCGGCCACACUGGGACUGAGACACGGCCCAGACUCCUACGGGAGGCAGCAGUGGGGAAUAUUGCACAAUGGGCGAAAGCCUGAUGCAGCAACGCCGCGUGAGGGACGACGGCCUUCGGGUUGUAAACCUCUUUUAGCAGGGAAGAAGCGAAAGUGACGGUACCUGCAGAAAAAGCACCGGCUAACUACGUGCCAGCAGCCGCGGUAAUACGUAGGGUGCAAGCGUUGUCCGGAAUUAUUGGGCGUAAAGAGCUCGUAGGCGGUUUGUCGCGUCUGCUGUGAAAUCCCGAGGCUCAACCUCGGGUCUGCAGUGGGUACGGGCAGACUAGAGUGCGGUAGGGGAGAUUGGAAUUCCUGGUGUAGCGGUGGAAUGCGCAGAUAUCAGGAGGAACACCGAUGGCGAAGGCAGAUCUCUGGGCCGCUACUGACGCUGAGGAGCGAAAGGGUGGGGAGCAAACAGGCUUAGAUACCCUGGUAGUCCACCCCGUAAACGUUGGGCGCU